rnacentral:rRNA from 1 species
AUUGAACGCUGGCGGAAUGCUUUACACAUGCAAGUCGAACGGCAGCACGGACUUCGGUCUGGUGGCGAGUGGCGAACGGGUGAGUAAUAUAUCGGAACGUGCCCAGUCGUGGGGGAUAGCGUAGGGAAAAUUACGCUAAUACCGCAUACGAUCUAUGGAUGAAAGCGGGGGACCUUGUGGCACUGUGCGAUUGGACCGGCCGAUAUCAGAUUAGGUAGUUGGUGGGGUAAAGGCUCACCAAGCUAACGAUGUGUAGCUGGUCUGAGAGGAAGGCCAGCCAGACUGGGACUGAGGCACGGCCCAGACUCCUACGGGAGGCAGCAGUGGGGAAUUUUGGACAAUGGACGCAAGUCUGAUCCAGCCAUUCCGCGUGCAGGACGAAGGCCUUCGGGUUGUAAACUGCUUUUGUACAGAACGAAAAGGUUUCUAUUAAUACUAGGAGCUCAUGACGGUACUGUAAGAAUAAGCACCGGCUAACUACGUGCCAGCCGCCGCCGUAA